rnacentral:rRNA from 1 species
GGUGAACGCUGGCGGCGUGCCUAAUACAUGCAAGUCGAGCGAACAGACGAGGAGCUUGCUCCUCUGACGUUAGCGGCGGACGGGUGAGUAACACGUGGAUAACCUACCUAUAAGACUGGGAUAACUUCGGGAAACCGGAGCUAAUACCGGAUAAUAUAUUGAACCGCAUGGUUCAAUAGUGAAAGACGGUUUUGCUGUCACUUAUAGAUGGAUCCGCGCCGCAUUAGCUAGUUGGUAAGGUAACGGCUUACCAAGGCAACGAUGCGUAGCCGACCUGAGAGGGUGAUCGGUCACACUGGAACUGAGACACGGUCCAGACUCCUACGGGAGGCAGCAGUAGGGAAUCUUCCGCAAUGGGCGAAAGCCUGACGGAGCAACGCCGCGUGAGUGAUGAAGGUCUUCGGAUCGUAAAACUCUGUUAUUAGGGAAGAACAAAUGUGUAAGUAACUAUGCACGUCUUGACGGUACCUAAUCAGAAAGCCACGGCUAACUACGUG